UGGAUCCAGACUUUGAUUAUGGCUCAGGAUGAACGCUGGCGGCGUGCCUAAUACAUGCAAGUCGAACGAAACUUCUUUAUCACCGAGUGCUUGCACUCACCGAUAAAGAGUUGAGUGGCGAACGGGUGAGUAACACGUGGGCAACCUGCCCAAAAGAGGGGGAUAACACUUGGAAACAGGUGCUAAUACCGCAUAACCAUAGUUACCGCAUGGUAACUAUGUAAAAGGUGGCUAUGCUACCGCUUUUGGAUGGGCCCGCGGCGCAUUAGCUAGUUGGUGGGGUAAAGGCUUACCAAGGCAAUGAUGCGUAGCCGAACUGAGAGGUUGAUCGGCCACAUUGGGACUGAGACACGGCCCAAACUCCUACGGGAGGCAGCAGUAGGGAAUCUUCCACAAUGGGCGAAAGCCUGAUGGAGCAACGCCGCGUGGGUGAAGAAGGUCUUCGGAUCGUAAAACCCUGUUGUUAGAGAAGAAAGUGCGUGAGAGUAACUGUUCACGUUUCGACGGUAUCUAACCAGAAAGCCACGGCUAACUACGUGCCAGCAGCCGCGGUAAUACGUAGGUGGCAAGCGUUAUCCGGAUUUAUUGGGCGUAAAGGGAACGCAGGCGGUCUUUUAAGUCUGAUGUGAAAGCCUUCGGCUUAACCGGAGUAGUGCAUUGGAAACUGGGAGACUUGAGUGCAGAAGAGGAGAGUGGAACUCCAUGUGUAGCGGUGAAAUGCGUAGAUAUAUGGAAGAACACCAGUGGUGAAAGCGGCUCUCUGGUCUGUAACUGACGCUGAGGUUCGAAAGCGUGGGUAGCAAACAGGAUUAGAUACCCUGGUAGUCCACGCCGUAAACGAUGAAUGCUAAGUGUUGGAGGGUUUCCGCCCUUCAGUGCUGCAGCUAACGCAAUAAGCAUUCCGCCUGGGGAGUACGACCGCAAGGUUGCAACUCAAAUGAAUUGACGGA
rnacentral:rRNA from 1 species